AGAGUUGAUCAUGACUCAGAACGAACGCUGGCGGCGCGUUUAAGCAUGCAAGUCGAGCGGCAAGGGCCUUCGGGCCCCUAGAGCGGCGGACGGGUGAGUAACACGUGGACAAUCUGCCCCCCGGCCCGGGAUAGCCCAGGGAAACCUGGAUUAAUACCGGAUGAGACGGGACCCGCGAUGGCGGGAUCCGGGAAAGGCGCUGCGGCGCCGCCGGGGGAUGAGUCUGCGUCCCAUUAGCUAGACGGCGGGUAACGGCCCACCGUGGCGACGAUGGGUAGCCGGCCUGAGAGGGUGGACGGCCACAUUGGAACUGAGACACGGUCCAGACUCCUACGGGAGGCAGCAGCUAAGAAUCUUCCGCAAUGGGCGAAAGCCUGACGGAAGCGACGCCGCGUGAACGAAGAAGGCCGUGAGGUUGUAAAGUUCUUUUCGGGAGGGGGAACAACCGUGGCAGGGAAUGGCCGCGGGAUGACGUGAAUCCCGGAAUAAGCCCCGGCUAACUACGUGCCAGCCGCGGC
rnacentral:rRNA from 1 species